CAGGCUAUUUCUGUUAGUUGAGUUUUCAUUUACGCUGAAUUGUGGUGCCGUGCGAUUCGGCAUAGUCUGA
rnacentral:tRNA from 1 species